AAAAUUCCACUAUUCCGAAAUUCGAAACAGAAAUUUCCUGCUUAUUUUUUAAGAAUUUGAAAAAGUAGGCAAACGAAGAUACUUUUAAAGGAUGAAUAAAAAGAUCAAACGAGAAGAUCGAUAUCUGCAUUUGCAUAGGAAGCAUGAUAAUAUGAGUCAUGAGAAAUUAUAAGCAUUCCCUUAAACUGAUCUUUGCUUUGACUUUAUCUUUAAUUGUACAUGGCGAAUGGGAGGAUAUCCAUUAUUUUUAUCCGUCGGAUCUACUAUCGAUCUUUGCGCUUAAGUGCGCUUCUGCAAGGACAACGAGAUCAGUAUGGUUUCGCGUGGUGGAUUCGAUUGGACUGCUCCUGUUUUAAAAUACCGAUCUUAUUGAACUGAUAUCUUUCUAACAUUUCGUUGACACCACGCGACACUUUUGCGCCGUUAUGGAUACUUACAACCAAGUUAUUUCCAUUUUCUUCAAAUUAAUCUCAUAAAUUAUGAUAUAUUUGUAAAAGUAUUCACAUCUGGAUUAUCAAAGAAAUAGCAUAAGUUCAGCGUCCAACGUAUUAGUGUCUCAUCCUGCAUACUUGAAUGAAGACGCAAGGCACUGUCACAUUUUCACGCUUUGAUUUAUUACUUUCGCUACAGAAAAGAACUUGGAUACGUUGCAGCAUUUCAUUAUGAAACGCGACGAACAACGUGAACAGCGUUUCAAAUUAAUGUGAACAAAAAUGAAACUUACCCAUGCUGGUGAAUAUGUUCUGCGCGGGCAAGAGCACCUGUUGAUCCACACGAGACGCCGUCUCUUCGUUGACUGAGAUUGAAGCGGAUUCGCGCUCCCCGCAAGGCCUGAAAAUGAAUACCGUAACAUUAUACAGGAUGUAUCAAAAUCAGAGAACAGAAUCUACGCAACUAUGGAACUAAUAAGUUUUUCACAGGAAUGACCAAAAAAGCAAAAGAAGCAAGAUAUUUUGAAUGAAAUGUUGAAAAGAAAC